UUAUACAACAUGGGGUGCCCCGCCAGCGGGGCUGAGAAAUACCCAUUGAACCUGCUCUCAGUUAGAACUAGCGAAGGAAUUGUUGUGGAUUUUGCUG
rnacentral:ncRNA from 1 species